AUGUCAACCAGUGAGGCUGCCCUGAACAAAAAAAACAAAAAGAAAAAAAAAAAAGGAAAGAAAGAAACUGAUAAAAAGAGGCAUUCCAGCCCCUAUGUUAUUGAUGGAAAAAGAAAAAGAAGAAAAGCAAUCUCGCAGUACAUGUUACUUGUCGAAAAAAUUCCGGACAAGACUACCCUUGUUUUAUGUUUUCAGUAUUCUGAAAAUACCAGUGUGUGGCAGUUCUCGCAGAUGUUACCUAAAACUGCUGAACUUGACCGGCAGAAUGUUCUGCCGUUUUCUGCUCCCUCGACACUUGAUUGGAGGGCUGUCGACCUCUCCUCCCGUGGGGGCUUCCCCAGUGCCUAUCUUCUCUGAUAGUCAUGGAGAGGUUACACUAAUUCAUUGGAGAUGUAAGUUGUUGGUUUUGUUUUGUUUUGUUUUUAGAAAAAUAUAUAUAAAUAUAUAA
rnacentral:lncRNA from 1 species